rnacentral:rRNA from 1 species
CAGUCGCCGCGGGAAUACGUAGGGUGCGAGCGUUAAUCGGAAUUACUGGGCGUAAAGCGUGCGCAGGCGGUUAUAUAAGACAGAUGUGAAAUCCCCGGGCUCAACCUGGGACCUGCAUUUGUGACUGUAUAGCUAGAGUACGGUAGAGGGGGGAUGGAAUUCCGAGUGUAGCAGUGAAAUGCGUAGAUAUGCGGAGGAACACCGAUGGCGAAGGCAGCCCCCUGGGCCAACACUGACGCUCAUGCACGAAAGCGUGGGGAGCAAACAGGAUUAGAUACCCCAGUAGUCCCUGUCUCUUAUA